AAUAAAAUGCCUGAAAAAGGGUUAUCUUGAUAGGAUAAAUCAUGUGUUCUUAUCACUUUUAUUA
rnacentral:tRNA from 1 species